rnacentral:rRNA from 1 species
AGACGACGCUGGCGGCGUGCCUAACACAUGCAAGUCGAACGGAGAUACGAUUUCGGUUGUAUCUUAGUGGCGAACGGGUGAGUAACGCGUGAGCAACCUGACUCUUAGAGGGGGAUAACACUGGGAAACGAGUGCUAAUACCGCAUAAGACCACGACAUGGCAUCAUGACGAGGUCAAAGGAGCAAUCCGCUGAGAGAGGGGCUCGCGUCCCAUUAGAUAGAUGGCGGGGUAACGGCCCACCAUGUCAACGAUGGGUAGCCGAGCUGAGAGGCUGAUCGGCCACACUGGAACUGAGACACGGUCCAGACUCCUACGGGAGGCAGCAGUGGGGAAUAUUGGGCAAUGGGCGCAAGCCUGACCCAGCAACGCCGCGUGAGGGAAGAAGGCUUUCGGGUUGUAAACCUCUGUCCUUGGUGACGAAACAAAUGACGGUAGCCAAGGAGGAAGCCCCGGCUAACUACGUGCCAGCAGCAGC